rnacentral:rRNA from 1 species
UACGAAGGGGGCGAGCGUUGUUCGGAAUUACUGGGCGUAAAGGGCGCGUAGGCGGCCGAUCAAGUCAGAUGUGAAAGUCCUGGGCUUAACCUGGGGACUGCAUUUGAUACUGAUUGGCUUGAAUGCAGGAGAGGAUAGCGGAAUUCCCAGUGUAGAGGUGAAAUUCGUAGAUAUCAGGAGGAACACCGGUGGCGAAGGCGGCGAUCUGGCCCAACAUUGACACUGAGACCCAAAAGCGUGGGGAUCAAACAGG